UUGCAUCAGGGAUAGUAACGGCAUCCUUUUUUACUGGUAAAAAAGAUAUAGUGGAUAGCCCGCCCGGAU
rnacentral:sRNA from 1 species